rnacentral:rRNA from 1 species
GACGAACGCUGGCGGCGCGCUUAACACAUGCAAGUCGAACGGAAAGGCCUUCUUUCCCUUGUGGAUUGCGGUUACUCUAGUGUCGAACGGGUGAGUAACACGUGAGUUAUCUUCCCCCAACUUUUCUAUAAGCCUGGGAAACUUCGUCUAAUUCCCUAUUGGACUGCAGUGUGGUGCCUGUGGUGGAAAACGAUUUUCUUGUGGUUGGGGAUGAGCUCGCGGGGUAUCAGGUUGUUGGUGUGGUAAUGGCCGACGAAGGGGGGGACAGGUAGCCGGCCAGAGAUGGUGGACCGGAAAAGUGGGACUGAGAGACGGGGCAGAAGAGAACGGGAAGAAGCAGUGGGGAAGAUUGAGCAAGGAGCGGAAGCCUGAUGGAGCGACGCUGAGUCGGGGAUGACGGGCUUCGGAUUGUAAACUCCUUUCGAGAGAGAGGAAGCCACCUGGUUGGAGGGGUGGUGACGGUAGUGGUAGAAGAAGCACCGGCUAACUACGUG